rnacentral:rRNA from 1 species
UGUUCUUCGUGAACAUGGCGGACUGCUCAGUAACACGUGGAUAACCUGCCCUUAGGUUCGGCAUAACUCCGGGAAACUGGAGAUAAUUCCGAAUAGGUCAAAUAUGCUGGAAUGCUUUUUGGCCAAAAGACCUCGGUUGCCUAAGGAUGGAUCUGCGGUCUAUCAGGUUGUAGUGGGUGUAACGUACCUACUAGCCUACGACGGAUAUGGGUUGUGAGAGCAAGAGCCCAGAGAUGGAUUCUGAGACAUGAAUCCAGGCCCUACGGGGCGCAGCAGGCGCGAAAACUUUACAAUGCGGGAAACCGCGAUAAGGGGGACACCGAGUGCCAGCAUUUAUGUUGGCUGUCCACAUGUGUAAACGGCAUGUGUUAGCAAGGGCCGGGCAAGACCGGUGCCAGCCGCCGCGGUAACACCGGCGGCCCGAGUGGUAAUCACUUUUAUUGGGUCUAAAGGGUCCGUAGCCGGUUUGAUCAGUUCUUCGGGAAAUCUGACAGCUCAACUGUUAGGCUUCUGGGGAAUACUGUCAGACUUGGGACCGGGAGAGGUAAGAGGUACUACAGGGGUAGGAGUGAAAUCUUGUAAUCCCUGUGGGACCACCAGUGGCGAAGGCGUCUUACCAGAACGGGUCCGACGGUGAGGGACGAAAGCUGGGGGCACGAACCGGAUUAGAUACCCGGGUAGUCCCAGCCGUAAACGAUGUUCGCUAGGUGUCAGGGGCGGUGCGACCGCUUCUGGUGCCGUAGGGAAGCCGUGAAGCGAACCACCUGGGAAGUACGGCCGCAAGGCUGAAACUUAAAGGAAUUGGCGGGGGAGCACUACAACGGGUGGAGCCUGCGGUUUAAUUGGAUUCC